GGGGGUGUGGCGCAGUCUUGGGAGCGCAUUACACUGAAGAUGUAAGGGUCGUGUGUUCAAUCCACACCACUCCCA